rnacentral:rRNA from 1 species
UACGUAGGGUGCGAGCGUUGUCCGGAAUUAUUGGGCGUAAAGAGCUUGUAGGCGGUUUGUCGCGUCUGCUGUGAAAUUCCAGGGCUUAACCCUGGGCUUGCAGUGGGUACGGGCAGACUAGAGUGUGGUAGGGGAGACUGGAAUCCUGGUGUAGCGGUGAAAUGCGCAGGAUAUCAGGAGGAACACCGAUGGCGAAGGCAGGUCUCUGGGCCACUACUGACGCUGAGAAGCGAAAGCAUGGGGAGCGAACAGG